GAUGGCAAUCUAGCCCUUUAGUUUUGAGGUUGGUGUACUGUGUGUGAGUAUAUAUAUACUUAUCACACACAGUAGCUAUCUUCAAAAGUGAGGGUGCACAUC
rnacentral:pre_miRNA from 15 species